rnacentral:rRNA from 1 species
UCCUACGGGACGCAGCAGUGGGGAAUAUUGCACAAUGGGGGGAACCCUGAUGCAGCGACGCCGCGUGGGUGAAGAAGUCAUUCGUGACGUAAAGCCCUAUCAGCAGGGAAGAAAAUGACGGUACCUGACUAAGAAGCCCCGGCUAACUACGUGCCAGCAGCCGCGGUAAUACGUAGGGGGCAAGCGUUAUCCGGAUUUACUGGGUGUAAAGGGAGCGUAGACGGCAUAGCAAGUCUGAAGUGAAAGCCCGUGGCUCAACCGCGGAACUGCUUUGGAAACUGUUAAGCUGGAGUACUGGAGAGGCA